UAGGGAAUCUUCCACAAUGGGCGAAAGCCUGAUGGAGCAACGCCGCGUGUGUGAUGAAGGGUUUCGGCUCGUAAAACACUGUUGUAAGAGAAGAAUGACAUUGAGAGCAACUGUUCAAUGUGUGACGGUAUCUUACCAGAAAGGAACGGCUAAAUACGUGCCAG
rnacentral:rRNA from 1 species